rnacentral:lncRNA from 1 species
GCAUCCUUACUGCUCAAUCUGCUAUUAUAAUUAAGUACUUACUUGGAUUGAAGGAGUAUUUAAAGAUGUUUUUGGAGUUGGACUAAAUGGAAUCUCUAUGGAAAAAGGUUUUUAUUUAAUUUUUGGAAUCUGUUGAGGUAAGAUAAAGAAGUGGAACCCACUUAAUUAAUUGGUUUAUUUAUCUGGGUUUUCUGGAAGUUAAUGUAUGUAGAGUUCUGAAUUUUUUAAUAAAAUUUGAUCGUUUAUCAUCAGCGUGCAAGAGGUAUUUCAAGGUCUUAUUUCCAGGUUCCAUGUUUUUUAUCGUUGUAUUUGAUGUUAUUUCCUUCGACAGGCCAUUGAUAAUGUUAAUGAGAGUAUAUCUCCCAUACUUGCUCCUCAGAGAAUAUGAAAUUUCACGAAUGAACACGGUAUAUCUAUUCUUGAUGAGGAGUUUUAUCUUUAGCAUCAAAGCUAGUAGUGAACACUUACUUAUAAGAUCUGGAACGAAUCCUAUUUUGAAAAUAUUAUAGAAGACCUUUUCAGGAAUGGGUCCUAGUGGAGUACCUAAAAACAUUCGAAAGGUAGCCCGAAAAGCCCUGGAGAUUUCAAUUGACUAUCAUAUUCUCAGCUCUUUGAAUAUUUUGGAGGAUUUGCAUGCUAUUUAUCGAAAUUCCUCUAUGUGACAUUCCUUAUUGGCUUGAGCGUAAAUAAAGGUAAGACUCAUGAGUUUUUGAAUUUAUUGUAGGCUACUUUGAUUAUUAUAUUCGAUUCAAAUAAUUUUACAAAUAUAGGUAAUCUUAUAGGUUUUGAAACUGCUAGAGGCAUUUACUUAUUGAUGAAUAACAAUACAUACAUGUAAGAGCUUUUGAAUACAAAUUAAUGGAUGUUUUAAGAAUUUUCUAAAAUAUUGAAACUCUGAAAUAGUUCAAGUUGGAAUAAAGAGCACCUGAGAUGAUACCCCCAAAUGCAUACAAAACCGAGUUAACAAUUAGACCCUCGAGUCGGAGUUUCAAUCAGUCAAUGUUUCAUUCUUCAGUAGUUAACACCACUAAAGCCAUGCCUCCAGUUCCAAAUAAUAAAGUUGUUAAAAGCAAGAAAUUUCAUGUUGGUAGAUAUAAGAAAAGACAGCAUAGACGUCGGGAAUUCGCAUCAAGUAAAUACAACACCGAUAACCGACUACAAAGAACCUCUUUAUAUUCAUCCCCUUCAACAUUGUCGACACUUGGAUCGGAUAUUAAUUGGCUAAAAAAUGGAAUGGAUACAAAUCCGCGAAAGAGCCAUCCCAGUCCUUGUCUGAGCAAAAGGCGAAAUCUGAAACAACAACUGAGAAGAAAUCCAAGAGUUGGGCGGAAUGGAAAGAAAAGGGAAAUGUAGAAAUCGAAAUAAAGACAUGCAGAUCCCCUGCCAUAAAAUUUGAUACUCCACUCUAUGAACUACAAUCUCCAAAAGA